AGCCGGAAAUGGAAAAGCCGGUACAAGCGUAUAGCAGUCAUGCAGGCAAAACCGCAUGAAAAAUGUAAAGCGUUAUGUGGAUCGAACAUUAGUAGAGAAGCGUGUGAGCCAGCUGCCAAGAAAAGCCGCUAUUGUUUCAUAAGUACCCGUACCGUAAACCGACACAGGUGGAUGAGGAGAGAAUCCUAAGGCCGGCGGGAGAAGUGUUGUUAAGGAACUCGGCAAAAUGACUCCGUAACUUCGGGAGAAGGAGUGCCACAGAGAUGUGGCCGCAGAGAAAUGGCCCAAGCAACUGUUUAGCAAAAACACAGGUCUAUGCAAAACCGAAAGGUGAGGUAUAUGGGCUGACGCCUGCCCGGUGCUGGAAGGUUAAGAGGAGAGGUUAGAGCAAUCGAAGCUUUGAAUUUAAGCCCCAGUAAACGGCGGCCGUAACAAUAACGGUCCUAAGGUAGCGAAAUUCCUUGUCGGGUAAGUUCCGACCCGCACGAAAGGCGUAAUGAUUUGGGCACUGUCUCAACAACACACCCGGUGAAAUUGAAAUACCAGUGAAGAUGCUGGUUACCUGCGCCAGGACGGAAAGACCCCAUGGAGCUUUACUCCAGUUUGAUACUGGGAUUCGGUACUGUCUGUACAGGAUAGGUGGGAGGCUAGGAAAUGGUGACGCCAGUUGCCAUGGAGCCAACCUUGGGAUACCACCCUUACAGUACUGGGUUUCUAACCUGCAGCCGUAACCCGGCUGGGGGACAAUGUCUGACGGGGAGUUUGACUGGGGCGGUCGCCUCCGAAAGAGUAUCGGAGGCGCUCAAAGGUUCCCUCAGAACGGUUGGAAACCGUUCGAAGAGUGCAAAGGCAGAAGGGAGCUUGACUGCGACACCGACGGGUGGAGCAGAUACGAAAGUAGGACUUAGUGAUCCGGUGGUAUAAAGUGGGAUUGCCAUCGCUCAACGGAUAAAAGCUACCCUGGGAUAACAGGCUUAUCACUCCCAAGAGUUCACAUCGACGGAGUGGUUUGGCACCUCGAUGUCGGCUCAUCGCAUCCUGGAGCUGUAGCAGGUUCCAAGGGUUGGGCUGUUCGCCCAUUAAAGCGGUACGCGAGCUGGGUUCAGAACGUCGUGAGACAGUUCGGUCCCUAUCCGGCGUGGGCGUAGGAUAUUUGAGAGGAGCUGUCCUUAGUACGAGAGGACCGGGAUGGACAAACCUCUGGUGUAUCUGUUGUUUUACCAAAGGCAUGGCAGAGUAGCCAAGUUUGGCAGGGAUAAACGCUGAAGGCAUCUAAGCGUGAAGCCCCCCUCAAGAUAAGAUAUCCCAUCUUCGGAGUAAGACCCCUUGAAGACUACAAGGUUGAUAGGCUUCAGGUGUAAGUGCGGUAACGCACUCAGCUGAGAAGUACUAAUAGGUCGAGGACUUAUU
rnacentral:rRNA from 1 species